AGCUGGCUGACAAGUUCCAAAUAGGACAAAAUGCGCAUCCUGGAU
rnacentral:hammerhead_ribozyme from 1 species